GGAAGGCUCUCCUUCUUCCUUCUUGCUGCAUCGUAGGCGACAUGGGAUCUUUGAGACCUGCGAUGUGGGAUUAUCAGUCCCUGGUCAUCUUGUUGUAUAGUCAGGCUGCGGUGCCACAGUGAUGCAGGUGCAGCCUUACUGAGGGAGGUGUGUGCUGAGACCUUUCAGUCAUGGGCGCUUUGGGCUGAUAAGACUGAUGACCAUGAAAGUGGGUGACUGUCACCAGGCCCAGUUCCUUUGUUCGGGAACUCAUCUGCUCUUCAUGAUCUGAUCAGGAAGGAGUAGGAUGGCUGCCUGUAUGGAUGUGCAGCAGGAGUGGCUCUGCAGGUGGGAGACUGGUCGAGGGAUCUGUCCUGCAGGCUCUUGAUUCAUCCAGGUUCUGAAGAGAUAUAUGAAGAUAUGACUCUUACUAAUCGAGACCUUUGGAACUUGUCAUUAAACAAUUUAAAUGCA